rnacentral:rRNA from 1 species
UACGGAGGGGGCUAGCGUUGUUCGGAAUUACUGGGCGUAAAGCGCACGUAGGCGGCUUUGCAAGUUAGAGGUGAAAGCCCGGGGCUCAACCCCGGAAUUGCCUUUAAAACUGCAUCGCUAGAAUUGUGGAGAGGUAAGUGGAAUUCCGAGUGUAGAGGUGAAAUUCGUAGAUAUCGGGAGGAACACCAGUGGCGAAGGCGGCGAUCUGGGUCGAUACUGACGCUGAGGUGCGAAAGCGUGGGGAGCAAACAGG